GCUGGGCGUGGUGGCGGGUGCCUGUAGUCCCAGCUACUCGGGAGGCUGAGGCAGGGGAAUCACUUGAACCCAGGAGGCGGAGCUUGCAGUGAGCCGAGAUCAGGGCACUGCACUCCAGCCUGGGUGACAGAGUGAGACUCAGUCUCAA
rnacentral:sRNA from 1 species